AUGCUCAUUUCAGCAGCACAUAUACUAAAAUUGGAACGAUACGGAGAAGAUUAGCAUGGCCCCUGCACAAGGAUAACACACAAAUUUGUGAAGCGUUCCAUAUUUUU
rnacentral:snRNA from 1 species